UUUUAAAGCAAUUAAGGGCACAUGGUGGAUGCCUAGGCUCUGAGAGGCGAUGAAGGACGUGGUAAGCUGCGAAAAGCCAGGGGGAACUGCACACAAGUAUUAUAUCCCUGGAUAUCCGAAUGGGACAACCCAGCAUGCUGAAGGCAUGUUACACCGUAAGGUGAGCCAACCCCGGGAACUGAAACAUCUAAGUACCGGGAGGAAAAGAAAACAAAUAGUGAUUCCCUGAGUAGUGGCGAGCGAAACGGGAAUAGCCUAAACUUAAGGAGCGUGCUCCUUGAGGGUUGUAGGGCUGCAUUUAGAAAGAGUCAUCAAGCGGAACCUUCUGGAAAGUGGGGCCAUAGAGCAUGAAAGCUGCGUACGCGUAAAUUGACUUGGACGAGCAGUACCCUGAGUAGGGCGGGACCGGAGAAAUCCUGCUUGAAUCUGCCAGCACCAUCUGGUAAGGCUAAAUACUCCUCAGAGACCGAUAGUGAACCAGUACCGUAAGGGAAAGGUGAAAAGCACCCUAAACAAGGGAGUGAAAUAGUACCUGAAACCGUGUGCCUACAAGCGGUCGGAGCCUAGUAAUGGGUGACGGCGUGCCUUUUGCAUAAUGAACCUACGAGUUACUCCUCACUGGCGAGGUUAAGUUCUUAAGUAACGGAGCCGUAGCGAAAGCGAGUCCGAACAGGGCGCUUAGUCAGUGGGGGUAGACGCGAAACUUUGUGAUCUAUCCAUGGGCAGGCUGAAGGUGUGGUAACACACGCUGGAGGGCCGAACGCGUAAACGUUGAAAAGUUUUGCGAUGACCUGUGGAUAGGGGUGAAAGGCCAAUCAAACUGAGAGAUAGCUCGUUCUCCCCGAAAUGUUUUUAGGAACAGCGUCACAUUUUAGAAGUUUAUGAGAGGUAGAGCUACUGAUUGGGCUAGGGGGCUUCACCGCCUACCAAACCCUGACAAACUCCGAAUGCUCAUAAAUAUCUGUGGCAGUGAGGCUGUGGGCGCUAAGGUCCAUGGCCGAGAGGGAAAUAACCCAGAAUAACAGCUAAGGUCCCUAAUACGUAGUUAAGUUGGUCAAACGAGGUGGAGUUUCUAUAACAGCCAGGAUGUUGGCUUGGAAGCAGCCAUUCAUUUAAAGAGUGCGUAACAGCUCACUGGUCGAGAGACUCUGCACGGAAAAUAAUCGGGCAUCAAACUACGAACCGAAGCUUUAUGUUGCACACUAUGUGUGUAUACGGUAGGGGAGCAUUGAAGCAGCGUCGAAGGUGAUGGGCGACCAUUGCUGGAGCGGCUUCAAAAGAAAAUGUAGGUAUAAGUAACGAUAAACAAGGUGAAAAACCUUGUCGCCGAAAGUCUAAGGGUUCCUGAUCAACGUUAAUCGGAUCAGGGUUAGUCGGGUCCUUAGGAGAACCCGAAAGGGGUAUCUGAUGGAAAACUGGUUAAUAUUCCAGUACCCGCAUUAGUUUCGAUGGGGUGACGCAGUAUUGAAAGUUCCUCGCACUUACGGAAUAGUGCGAUUAAGGUUGUAGCUAUUUGUUUUCCAGGUAAAUCCGGAAGAUAAGGCAAAGACUGAAAGUACACCAAGGCUUCGGCUGCGGUGAGUGAACCUAAAAGCUGCCGAGAAAAACCUCUAAGGUUAGGCUAAUGCGGCCCGUACCGCAAACCGACACAGGUAGACGGGAAGAAUAUUCUCAGGCGCUCGGGUGAGCCGUGGAGAAGGAACUAGGCAAAUUGACGCUGUAACUUCGGGAUAAAGCGUCCCUACUUCGGUAGGGCACAGUAAAAUGGUUCAACCAACUGUUUAACAAAAACACAGGGCUCUGCAAAAUCGCAAGAUGACGUAUAGGGCCUGAUACCUGCCCGGUGCUGGAAGGUUAAGGAAGGAUGUUCGGGGUAACCCAAAGCUUCUGACUGAAGCCCCAGUAAACGGCGGCCGUAACUAUAACGGUCCUAAGGUAGCGAAAUUCCUUGUCGGGUAAGUUCCGACCUGCACGAAUGGUCUAAUGAGUUGAACACUGUCUCCUCCACGAGCCCGGUGAAAUUGUAGUAUCGGUGAAGAUGCCGGUUACCCGCCACGGGACGGAAAGACCCCGUGAACCUUCACUACAACUUUGCAUUGAUUUUGAACAACCGAUGUGUAGGAUAGUUGGGAGACUGUGAAGUGGCCUCGCCAGGGGUCAUGGAGUCAUCGUUGAAAUACCAACCUUCGUUUGUUUAGAGUCUAAUCCCUUACGGGAAACAGUGCAUGGUGGGUAGUUUGACUGGGGUGGUCGCCUCCUAAAAAGUAACGGAGGCUUGCAAAGGUUCCCUCAGUACGGUUGGUAAUCGUACGUAGAGCGCAUCAGUAUAAGGGAGCUUGACUGUGAGACAGACGCGUCGAGCAGGGGCGAAAGCCGGCUGAAGUGAUCCGGUGGUUCUGUAUGGAAGGGCCAUCGCUCAAAGGAUAAAAGGUACUCCGGGGAUAACAGGCUGAUCUCCCCCAAGAGCUCAUAUCGACGGGGAGGUUUGGCACCUCGAUGUCGGUUCGUCACAUCCUGGGGCUGGAGAAGGUCCCAAGGGUUCGGCUGUUCGCCGAUUAAAGUGGCACGUGAACUGGGUUCAGAACGUCGCAAGACAGUUCGGUCCCUAUCUGUGGUGGGCGCAAGUAAAUUGAGAGGACAUGACCUUAGUACGAGAGGACCGGGUCGUACGUACCGCUGGUGUAUCUGUUGUGCCGCCAGGUGCAGCGCAGAGUAGCUAUGUACGGACAGGAUAAACGCUGAAAGCAUCUAAGCGUGAAACCUUCCUCAAGAUGAGUUUACUUUUAAGGGUCGUCAGAGACGAUGACGUUGAUAGGCUACAGGUGUAAAGCUGGUGACAGCAAAGCCGAGUAGUACUAAUUGCCCGUACGCUUUAAUUUUUAUUUAUU
rnacentral:rRNA from 1 species